GGGGCCAUAGCUCAGCUGGGAGAGCGCGACGCUGGCAGCGUCGAGGUCGACGGUUCGAUCCCGUCUGGCUCCACCA
rnacentral:tRNA from 1 species